AACGAACGCUGGCGGCAGGCCUAACACAUGCAAGUCGAGCGAGGACUUCGGUCCUAGCGGCGGACGGGUGAGUAACGCGUGGGAACGUGCCCUUUGCUACGGAAUAGCCCCGGGAAACUGGGAGUAAUACCGUAUGUGCCUUUUGGGGGAAAGAUUUAUCGGCAAAGGAUCGGCCCGCGUUGGAUUAGGUAGUUGGUGGGGUAAUGGCCUACCAAGCCGACGAUCCAUAGCUGGUUUGAGAGGAUGAUCAGCCACACUGGGACUGAGACACGGCCCAGACUCCUACGGGAGGCAGCAGUGGGGAAUCUUAGACAAUGGGGGAAACCCUGAUCUAGCCAUGCCGCGUGAGCGAUGAAGGCCUUAGGGUUGUAAAGCUCUUUCAGUGGGGAAGAUAAUGACGGUACCCACAGAAGAAGCCCCGGCUAACUCCGUGCCAGCCGCCGCGGUAAUAC
rnacentral:rRNA from 1 species